rnacentral:lncRNA from 1 species
CCUAGGGCAGCCUCUCCAGCUAUAAAAGGGCAUGCAAACCAGCAGAUCAAUUAUCUUUGGAUCAUCAUACAUCCUCGGUAGAAGCUGCACCAGCAGCCGCACCACACCAGCAGGCCAAUUGGCCCUUUUUCUCCUUCUUUUUGCUCUCUUUCUUUUCUUUUAUGUUAGUUUCAGCCAUGAGUGGCUGAAACCCUUUUUCUAGUUGAAGAAUAAGGUGAAACUUUGGUUGUUUAUGGAUUGGGAGAUCUGAACCUUCAUGUUAUUCUUUUAUUAAUCAGUAUUUAUGCAAUUUUGUGCUUAAUUUAUUGUUGCUUUGUUGUUUUGAUCAAAUUGGCCACUUGAUUCUUGAUUGCAAAGUAAUUCUUUGUUAGUUUGGAUAGUUUGAAGUCCGUAAUUGCUUGAAUUAUUCAAACACAAGUAACCCUUAGUGUAAAAACCUAGGAAAUUGCAUAAUCUAGCAAUAUCACCAUACAUUUGGGUAGCUAGAAUUAUGUCUCUCUUUUUCUUAAUGCAAUUAACAGUUGUUAGAUGCCAAAGGCCCAAGGACGUUCCUUGGCAACUUGUUAAUUAGUGAUUAAUUAGAGGACGUUCCCUAAAUAAUCUAUGCUUAAGGAGGGAUAUGGUUGGUGAGAAGCGUCUUCCACCUCCAUAACUAAUUUAUUGAUUUAAAUAAGAGAAUAUAAGUUUCAAUGAUCAAUCCCAACAAAUAAAGUGGAUCCAACUCUUCAACUAGGCCUUUCUCAUUAUUGAAU